UUGUAAUUUUUUUUGCAAAUGUUCAUCGCAUUUCUUACAGUCUAUUGGGCUAGCAAAUACAAGAAAGAACACAGAAAGCUCAACCCAAAUACAACAAACCCUAGCUCAACUCAAAAUCAUAUGCAAAGCCCAGAGCCCAAGAGCAUGUCUGUCCAGCUCCACCACUGCACCACUUCCACUGCCUGAAACUACCAAGCACUGCCAGUCUCACCAGGAAAAACAAGCGAAGAAGAUGACCGGUACAUGCCGAAAAGCAAUCCACAGACGAGCAACGAGAUGCAUUGAGUCAAACAGAAUCAAACGUAAUGAAAAAAAUAGCGAGUCAAACAGAAUAAUCAGACGUAAUGAAAAAAAUAGAAAGCAAAGGAGGAGUUAAAAUAAAAAACACUUCAAAACAACGAUAUAGAGAAAAGUCACUCACAGCCAAACAAGCAAACACAGGAUUCUCCCAUAAAACAAACACUAUCUAAAGGAGGUAAAGCGAUAGGGCUGGCAUGGAAAUGGUAAUUGCCGGACGCAUCGGCCCGGUCUUAAACUGCCGUCAUCACCAUGUAAUAGUCGGGCAAAAAGAAGACUCGCAAACCGAAUUCUCACCACCGGUCAGCGAUUAAAAUCGACACAAUCCAACAAUAACAAAUAAAAUGUAAAGAAAAAGAGACAAGUCUCAUUAAAAGCAAAUAAAACUAGAUAUCACCGAGCGGAGAAAAGAUAAAGUCGCUCUCCGUCGACGGAGCAAAACCAUAAUCUUGCAUUCGUUAUUUUUUUCUCUUGAC
rnacentral:lncRNA from 1 species